rnacentral:rRNA from 1 species
UACGUAGGGCGCAAGCGUUAUCCGGAAUUAUUGGGCGUAAAGAGCUCGUAGGCGGUUUGUCGCGUCUGCUGUGAAAACGCGAGGCUCAACCUCGCGCCUGCAGUGGGUACGGGCAGACUAGAGUGUGGUAGGGGGAGAUUGGAAUUCCUGGUGUAGCGGUGGAAUGCGCAGAUAUCAGGAGGAACACCGAUGGCGAAGGCAGAUCUCUGGGCCAUUACUGACGCUGAGGAGCGAAAGCGUGGGGAGCGAACAGG